rnacentral:sRNA from 1 species
UAUAUCGACUUAAUCCGGAUUUUGAUGC